rnacentral:RNase_P_RNA from 1 species
AGAGAAGAUCAAACGGUCGCGUGUCCACGGACACGAGGAAAGUCCGGACUCCACGGGGCAGGGUGGCCGUUAACGGCGGCUCGUCGCGAGACGGGGAAAGUGCCACAGAAAAGAGACCGCCGGCAUCCGCAUUCGAGACAACAGCGAGAUCUGCCUGAGACCACGGCUGGAGACUGACAUGAGGCGCUCCCUUUUAUUCGUGUCUCCAGUGGCGCGCUCGGCUUGCUCGCUCGCGCGGGGUCGAUGCCGGUAAGGGUGAAACGGUGAGGUAAGAGCUCACCAGAUUCCGUGGAAACGCGGGAUGCUGGGUAAACCCCACCCGGAGCAAGACCAAAUAGGAGGGAGCCCGGUUCGCGGGCAAGAGCCGCCCCGCUUGAUCCCUCCGGGUUCGUCGCUCGAACCUCUCGGUAACGAGAGGUCCAGAAGAAUGGCCGUUGUCUCUUCCUAUUACGAAGAGAAACAGAAUCCGGCUUAUCGAUCUUCUCUCACU